rnacentral:lncRNA from 1 species
ACAUCACUGUGGACGGUACGCCCUUGGGCUGCAUCUCCUUCAAGCUGUUAGCAGACAAAGUUUCAAAAACAGCAGAAAACUUCAUGCUCUGAGCACUGGAAAGAAUGCAUUUGGUUAUAAGUGUUCCUGCUUUCACAGAAUUAUUCCAGAGUUUAUGUGUCAGGGUAGUGACUUCACACACCAUAAUGGCACUGGUGGCAAGUCCAUCUAUAGGGAGAAAUUUGAUGAUAAGAACUUCACUCUGAAGCAUACAAGUCCCGGCAUCUUGUCCAUGUCAAAUGCUGGACCCAACACAAAUGGUUCCCAGUUUUUCAUCUGCACUGCCAAGACCUCAGUGGUUGGAUGGCAAGCAUGUGGUCUUUGGCAAGGUGAAUAAUAGCAUUAAUAUUAUGCAGGCCAUGGAGUGCUCUAGAUCCAGAAACGGCAAGACCAGUGAGAAGAUCACCAUUGCCGACUGUGGACAAUUCUAA